rnacentral:rRNA from 1 species
GAUGAACGCUAGCUACAGGCUUAACACAUGCAAGUCGAGGGACCGGCGCACGGGUGAGUAACACGUAUCCAACCUGCCCUUUACUCGGGGAUAGCCUUUCGAAAGAAAGAUUAAUACCCGAUGUAAAGGAUGGGGAUGCGUUCCAUUAGGUUGUUGGUGAGGUAACGGCACACCAAGCCUUCGAUGGAUAGGGGUUCUGAGAGGAAGGGCACCAACAUCGGAACUGAGACACGGUCCCAACUCGUACGGGAGUAAGAAGUGAGGAAUAUUGGUCAAUGGGCGUUAGCCUGAACCAGCCAAGUAGCGUAAAGGAUGAAGGCUUAUGGGUCGUAAAUUUCUUUUAUAGAAGAAUAUGUAUUAUAUGAAUAAGGAUCGGCUAACUCCGUGCCAGCAGCCGCGGUAAUAC